rnacentral:rRNA from 1 species
ACAAAGGCGGCAAGCCUUGUUCGGAAUUAUUGGGCGUAAAGAGCACAUAGGCGGCCUUACAAGUCAAUUAUGAAAGCCUUCCGCUUAACGGAAAAACGGCAUCUGAUACUACAGGGCUUAAGUACAAAAAAAAAAAGUGGAACUUCUAAUGAAACAAUGAAAUACAUAAAUAUCAAAAAAAACGCCGGCGGCGAAAGCAACUCUCUGGGCCGAAACUGACACUAAGUGUGCGAAAGCUAGAAAAACAAACGG